rnacentral:rRNA from 1 species
AGUGAACGCUGGCGGUAGGCCUAACACAUGCAAGUCGAACGGCAGCACAGUAAGAGCUUGCUCUUACGGGUGGCGAGUGGCGGACGGGUGAGGAAUACAUCGGAAUCUACUUUUUCGUGGGGGAUAACGUAGGGAAACUUACGCUAAUACCGCAUACGACCUACGGGUGAAAGCAGGGGAUCUUCGGACCUUGCGCGAUUGAAUGAGCCGAUGUCGGAUUAACUAGUUGGCGGGGUAAAGGCCCACCAAGGCGACGAUCCGUAGCUGGUCUGAGAGGAUGAUCAGCCACACUGGAACUGAGACACGGUCCAGACUCCUACGGGAGGCAGCAGUGGGGAAUAUUGGACAAUGGGCGCAAGCCGGAUCCAGCCAUACCGCGUGGGUGAAGAAGGCCUUCGGGUUGUAAAGCCCUUUUGUUGGGAAAGAAAAGCAGCAGGUUAAUACCCCGCUGUUAUGACGGUACCCAAAGAAUAAGCACCGGCUAACUUCGUG